UGCAGCCUGGAAGGUGUGGGCCUCAUGGAUAAACUGCACUACAAUGAGAUCUAGGGCCACUGGAGUGGAAAAGAUGAGGCAGGCUAGAUGCUAAUGUGAUCUAUAAAGACAUCAGACACUGAUGAGUGAAAUUAGGAUAAAGGUUUUGGGGGUGGAGGUAAGUAGUGGAUGAGGUAUGAAACACAUACCUCUUGGAAAAUCUGGUAGGCGCUAUUUACAAUAAAAUAAGUUCAUUUUUCUGCACUUAGGCAGAUGUCUGUGCAGACUGCUGGUUUGCAUUUUUUGGGACUCAGUGGAGGAUUCUCCCAGUGCUCGGGCUAAUAAGGUGCAGAGGCAAGUGUCUGAGCAGCCAACAGUAUGAGAUAUUUUCACUAAAUAUAAUUGCAAGCAAAUGAGCCAAGCAUGUCCAUAGUUUAAAAGUUGCUUGAUUAUGUGGCUGCGCUGUCCAGUGUGAAAUGAGAGUGACAUUACUGUAGCAUUAAUAGAACAUAAAAUUUUGUGUUACAGCUGUGAUUUUCACAGGGGCCUCUCAGUCCCACAUUAUGGACGUUCACUGGGGAAUGAUUUUUUCAAACUGUGAUCUGUGUUUCAGCAAUAGAAAUGAGAAGAAGGAGCUGGACAUGCUGCUGGACCUCCUGCAGAACAGCAGAACCUGCUGAAGAGCAUCUGAGUGUGACAGCCCAGUAGACUGCAAGGCUUUAGCGGGUGUUUCACAGUGUUUUCUUCAACCUGCAUCUUCCAAAGCCAUACAGAGACAGAUGAGUCUUGAGGGGAGCACGAGAAGGCUGCAACAGAACUCCUGCAAACUCCCACAGAGGUGGCAAGAUGUUCCAGUUGGUCAACAGGAGGAUCCUGCUGGUGCCCAGAGAGUCUGGAAGUUCAUUGAGGUCAUACAGGUUUUCUGCAUAUCCAUCCUGAACAAUUACACUUGAA